UUUGGAUUAGACUUUUAAUGAAUCAUAGUACUAUAGCACAGGUGGUUUUUUUUUUCUUUUAUAAUUCCCAGUUACUUUGUGACGUUGACACAGCUCCAUCUAAUCUGAAUUCCUCUAAGAUACACAAAGUCUUCUCUCAGGACUCUGUGUUUCCAGCACUUGCUGCUCUCCUGUGGCACCAUAUCCUGGUGCUGUUUUCCCAGUCGAAGUGGAGCAGAGAGCAGAACAGCCAGGCUCUCUCUUGCUGCAAGGCAGAACUGAACAGUAAAGCACCAUCUGUGGGCUGCAGGGAAAGAACAGGCUUUACCUGGAAGCUCAUUCUUCAGGCUCUUCCCUACCAGUACGACUGGAGAGCUGUCACUAGCUGGCACUGCCUAGUGUACAUCUGAAAGGUGAUCGUAUACUGUACUUCUCUCUCCUUUUUUUUUCGGGUGAGAUCCACUCCAAGGCAAUGAACUCCCCCUGUUCUUUCACUUCUCUGCGUUUGCCAGUAGAUGGUGGUAGCAGUUGCUCUAUUGACGACGGUGCCAUACGGUGCUGAGGUUUGAAGAAAGCAGUGUUUUGUGACAGCAGCAAGAAUUACUUCUCUUUGUGAAUCUAUAUUCUGUCAAAGAAUGUCCGUUGGGCCUCGCUGAAGUGCUGUCACUGUCGUUUAAGCUGAAGGUCCUCUGCAGCAGCAGCCCCACGAAGGGGCUCUCACCUCAUCAGCAGCCGUCGCACCCGAGCGCCAGAUUAGCAGAGAAGCUGCUGAGACAAAAGAUGCUCGGUAAACACAGCGAGGGUCAGCCACAGAAGGCUGGCGUUAGAUGUUCCAGAAACAAGGCUUCAGGGCGCGGGGAAGAGGUGUAAACUCUUAUGAGGAGCGACUGCUGCCCCUGCGACCCCGAGCGCUCGGCAGAGCGGAGUUGGGAUGCGGGGCUCGGCGGCUCCCGCGCUGCUCUUUGGCUGUGGUGGAGCUCGGGCGAGGGGGAUGCACUUCAAUCAAAGCUGCAGGGCAGGAGCCUGCUGGUCGUCAAGCUGCCUGUUAAUAGGUGGAUAACCACAGCUCUAGUCUCCAACUAAUCUGAGAAUUUUCAGCAACUGUAUCUCCAUGAAAACCUGAAAAUGUAGUACCUGCAGUUUGGUAGCUUGAUUUUUCAGCCUGCACUGCAUCCAGCAGUUCUCUGGCAUUUCUGGGAUUACUGGCUGCUUGGCUUUAUAUCAACCUUCUCAUUUACAUUUCUCAAGUGUGAAUUUAAGGAUCUGAGUUUUAGACACAAAUUUCUGCUUUGAAAAUUGUGGUCAGCGACUCUAUAGACUUGAAAAAAAUAUAAAAAAAUAUCCUGACAAGGGAUCUCUCCUCCUGUGUUUUAACCCUGGCAAGUUUUUAAUUUCUCUUUCCUCCCUGCCCAAGGGACAAGAUUCACCUAAGCUACAAAGCAUUAGGAAACUGUCAGAUCAGAUGCAUGAUAUGUAUAAUUAACGAUGUAGAACAAAGCAAUAAACCCUGCCCUGAAAAGCCUAAAUCUUUUCUUUUUUGAAGUUGCCUCCUGCUUUCACCCUUCCAGUUCCCAUAGGACUGUGUAAUAUUUAGAUGAAAUCAGCUACUUCAGGGCAAGAAAACAGUGCCAGUGUUUCAGUUUUCAUCUGAGCGGGAACGUUUUGGAGCCUGUGGAAGAAGCCCUGCUGGUCCAUGGCUCUCCUUUGGCCCUGUGAUCUGACAGGUACAACAGCAAAUGUGGACAUUUCUGUUUUCUUCAUGGAUUGCUGAGAAAGCAAAUUAUAUUUCUCAUACCUACCUGAAAGCCAUAUCAGAACCCUUCGUGUUUAAUUAGCAAGGUAAUAUAGAGAAUCAGGAUACAGACUCUGCAGAGUUGGUGAUUAUAUGUAUUUAUUUUUCUUUUUAUUUUUAGCAAAUCUUAGUUUUUGGAAAUUACUGUUCACUGAGUUGCUUUGGUAGGCAAAGGGAAGAUUUUUUGAUUCUUGUGGAGAGCUAGAAAAGAUCCCAUUUGAGGGUCAGUUGGCACAUAAUCAGCUUCUCCAACUGUAGGCAAAAGUACCACUGGAACUUUAUUGUUUUUUGGCUUCCUGCAGUUCUUAGCAGCUUGCAAUAAAAUAUGGUAAAUAAAGGGGAAAUCACACAUGAAAAAAAAACCACAAAGAAACUUGAAGAAUAAUACCCAUCAGAAUAAUGACUUGAAAAUUGCCACUCAAGGAGUCAAGGUACCAAGCUCCAUAUGGGGAAUCUUAAACUUGAAACGGUCUCUAUGUGCCCGAUAGUUUCAUUCAUACAACCCAGACGUGCCUGGAAGACAGCCUGGGUGCAAUCAUGAAGAUUCAAAUGGAGGAGAAAGACACAGGUUAAGGCCUGAUAAAGGAAGGAACAUACAAUCCAUGGGUUGAAAUCCAGUAAAAAGUGCUUCAUGGAGGCUACUAAAGCCUGUGAAGCCUUUGGUAGUUAUACUGUGGGCCCUCAUGGAAUGGCAGAGUGCUGGAGGCUGAAGGCAUCUCUGGAGGUCACCUUCUCCAACCCUCCCUCACCUCCAGGUGGCUUUGGAGUAUCUCCAAGGGUGGAGACUCAACAGAGCUCCGGUGAAACUUUCUGAGCCAGGUAUCAACCCUAUGCUGAAGAAAUCCCGGCCUUCUGCUGACAUGGGAGCUGCCUUGGGAAUCUGGUUAGUGAUGAUCGAGGGCAUGGCCUGAGCACAGCUCUCUGGCACGGAAAUUCAGCUGGUACUUCAUCUUUAUUUCACACACCAGUACAGCAGAUGAGGAAAGUAAUUGUAAACUCUUUUUAUGCAGGGCUUGUCUUCCCUCCUUGGUGCCACCAGUUUGUAUCAUACAGGUUCAGUUUGAAAUGACUUUUAAGAUGUGCCAGGUAGGAACUGUUUAGAGGAAUAAAAUAAAGAAAUCACAGUGAUGCUCUUGAUCUCCUUCAGGCAACAGAACAUCUUGACUUGCGUCUCUUAGGGAGAAGUGGAAAGUUUAAGAACUAAAUUUUCAAAUGAAUAGUUUGACUUUUACUUUUGGCUUGGAUACUAAUGUAUGCAUUACAUGUAUGCCAAGUGUUCUGCAUGUCAAAAUAUCACCAGUAAUCUUGGGAAAGAGGAGGCCUUUUCAGAGAAGGACUCCAGGGAGUCAGUUGUCGUUUGAAAGUUCUCUGUAUUUCAGCGGUGCUGGAUAUAAUGUGGAAGGCCAGUGAUGACAGAGUGUGUCUGGACCACAGGGCUCAAACUCCUGGAAGAAGCACCACCAUCCAUUCUGUGAUGUAUGACUGGCAAAAUCCCUGACCUUGCCGAAGAUCUGCAGUGAGUUCUGUAAAGCAGAUGCGGUUGGCAUUGCUUCUGCUCUCACGUGACCUGACUGCAUGGUGAAGGCUGACUUAUGGUUAAGUGGAAAACAGUUGUUGAACGGCGUUUGAUGUCAUUCAGUAUUUGCUGAAUUUGCUGUUUUGUGUUUCUAUUGGUUCUAGAUGUACAAAGUGGGGCGUGUGAGCCAAAGGGAACAUUUCCUGAUGUGUUGUGAGAGGACAGUGGAGAAGUCAAGGAAAGUUCAUUCUACUCUUAAAAUCUCAGUUCAUGCACUGUUCUUUUGAAAUCCAGGCAGGUUUUGCUGACCUGCUGUGUGUAAUCUCAAUAUCUACUCUGCCAUUAAAGCACUGAUUUGUUCUUUCUUCUGUACUAAAAUUACACUGUUCCAUGAAAACUGCCAUCACUUCUGGAGAAGACUGUAUCUAGUCUUCUACAUCUUUAUAACUGGGCAUUCAUGGCAUAAAAUGACUCCAGUGUGAGAUAAACAGGAAUGCUUGAAACAAACACCUGCUUUCACAGGCUGUUACUAGAGCUGGGAUACCGAGAGCCUGGAUUUAUUGGUGUGACCCAGCAGACAUUUUUCACCUGUUUUUGGAGGCAAAUGUGCAAUAGAGUUUUCUUUCCACCAGAAUGUAGGUAAUUAAUUUAUGGAAAGUAGAGGCAGAGUGAGGACUGGGAGAAACACUUUUUUAAUGGCUAUAAUUCAGUCACCUAAAAAUAAUACUUCCAGGUUCUUUCUGUAGCCUAUUGCCUGUGUGUUUUCUUUUUAGUUAUUUCUUGAAUGAGUUAGUAAUUUUUUUCUGUGUUUGAUACAGCUACAUUUUCACUAUAAUUCUGUACAUGAAAAAGUAGUUAGAAACAUCUGCUCCAAGCUUAUUUUUUAUUUAACUAACAAUUAAAUUCCCUUUUUUUUUUGCAGUGCACAUAGCAACUCGAGUUGACCUCAUUUAUCCUCUUCAAAAACAUUCUGGCUGCAGGAAGCUUUUGCUCUCACAAGUCUACAUGAAAAACUCCAGGUCAGUGCCAGGUCCCAGCAAGGCAAGAUGCUGUUCUUUGAAGGAAAGUCCCAGCAGAUAGGACAGGACUUCCCACACCCUACAGGAGGCUGGGUGUCCACCAAGGAGGGCUGAACUCAUUCACAAGGACCCGACUUUCCACGCUCACCUUCCGCAACCCCUGACUCUUCUGAGAGUGUGAUAAUUCACUCUGGAAGGCCUGGUGCCUGAAGUAGUUAUCCAUCACUAUCAGCACAACUUAAACCAUCAAACAACUCCCACAGGACUCUUUCAGAUGUUAGUUUAGUGAUUUUAAGUCACUAAGAUGUCUUGUGAAUUUUUAGGUCCGUUGGCACAAUACCAAAGUCUGAGAAAAACCUAUAUUUAAAAAAAAAACCCUAUUGAUAAUGAGAUAAUACUGACCCUCUUAUUUAUUAAAUAUUUAUCAUUAUCCAGAAACGACCCAUAAAAUCAGGAGCAGGCUGAUUUUCAAACAGAACUCAUGAGAACAAUCUCUCUCUUGGUAGGACUUAGUAGAACUUUGCUAUCACUGUAGCAACGUUCAGGAUCUAGUAACUAGGAAGGCCUGGUACACCAUGGGGGUUAAUGCUCUAAACAAACCCAGGGGGCUUCAGAGGGGUCAGAAUAUGCUCAUUUCUGUGCCUACUUCCAUAAUCACACUGAUUAAUUUUUUCAACAAACUGAACUGCCUGCAAAGCAGAAAUCUCCACUCUUCUGUGCAGUCCUUGUCUCAGCCUGUUCCCACAGACCCAGACGUGCAGAGGUGCUUUCAGACUGCCCAGGUGCCAUGCCAAGCUCCCCCUGCCUGGCAGCCUGCCCUUCCAAGGCACCACUGGUGGGAGAAGGGCCAGUGCUCCACUCUACCCUGCCCAUGGAGAACUGAUCUGGUGUCAGGGCUCUGCCUUUCUUCAAUGUCACCGAUGUUGCACAGAUGCUUUCCCGCAGUUGGCAGAUGUGGCCCAGGAAAGACACGGAGUGAAACUCUGCAGGAAAGCUGCUUGCAAGUGGUAUUAAUAGAAAAAACACAUGCAGGAGCGAUUUGAGUAACUUCACUUCCUUGAGGAGGCAACAGCGAGGCCAAGAAGAAAUUCAAAAGUGAAAUAAAUGAUAUUGUUAGAGAUGUGAAAAAAUAGCAUCCCCUUCUUUCCUUUCUUCCCCCUCCUUCCUGCCUGCCCCCUCCAGUUUCAUCCACUGUUUUGAUGGAGUCAAAUACAAAGUAUUUUGUCCGGAAUAUCCAUUAAUUGAUUUUUCUGCCUUUUUUUUUUUUUUUAAUUUCCUCAUAAGAAAAUUAAUUUUUGUUAGUGACCCCCAAGGCUUCCUAAAAAGAAAUUUAUGCUAUACCCAAAAUUUUAAAGAAGAAAAGGACUAUUCUGUUUUAGCAGUUAUCAAUUAUCUCAACAAUCUAGCAUCACCAGAAUAAGGAGACAAGUUCUCCAAACUGACACUUCAAAUGAGUUGGCUGAUGUCGAAUAACACACAAUUUGCACAGCACCUAACUCAUGCAUUUUCCCAGCUUCUAGAGCUCUUUCCUUGGAAAUCAUUAUGGAAAGUGUUGGAGUAGCAACUUCUGGCAUUGAUAUGUUGCAAAAUAUCUCCACAGCAGAUUGAAACUCUGAGAAGCUUCCGGCGUGUCAGACACAGUAGAGUUUGUCAUAUUCUCCUGUUUUUGCAGUGAGAAUGCCCUCGAGGCAACUCACAACAUCUGCUGUGAACACAUGAAAUCCUUCCCUUCUCUGCAGCCAGCUUGCCACUGGGUUUGAUGGAGCCAAAAUAUCAGGCUCGUUCAGUGGAGCCAGGCACAGCUCGGACAGACAACAGUGUGAAAAUCAGUGAGUCAACAAACUUUCAGUAGGAGGAAAAGGGGAGAAUCAAACACAGAAAUCAGUGCUGCAAUUAAAAAAAAAAAAAAGCAUAUAUUUUUUUGUUGCACUGCAGAAUUUACAGCUGAUCAAGCCAUAACCCCCAAGCCUCUCCUUUUGAUUACUUUGUUUGGAUGCUCUUGUGCCACAGUGCCUUUUACCUUCCCUCUGGUCAGAGUGGCCAACAGUGUUCUUGGCCAUAAAAACCAGGAGAGGGAAAAUCACUUGGUGUCUUCUUAGGCAUUCACUGGCAAGGAAAUUGGAAGAGUCUUGAAUGGCUACAGGUCUUCAUGGCAAGAAAGGAUGUUGCAACAGUCACGCUGCAAGCACUGUAGUGAAUGGAGAAAAAAAGCAGCGCUGGAAAUCUGUUCCCUUACGGAUGUUCCAGCUGAGACACAGUCACAAUUAUUUUAGGAGGGAAAACAUCAUACACUAAAUACAUUUAUUAUUUGGGUCUGUUUCUGCUUUGGACAGAUUGUGACAAUCUUACAUAAACACUCAGUAUUAGGACAGUCUGAUGUUUGACCCAGAUCUGAUUAUUUUGCAGCACACACAACUGUGCUUCCAGGGGAAGAUUCCCCCAUGUCAAGUUUCUAAACAGGGUAAAUAAAGCCAUCUGUUGUGGAAGCAGGAUUUUUAAAUUAUAUGCCCUGUUAACCACUGUUUUGCACACUGAGCUAUUUGUGUCUAAAGAAACAACCUUAUGCCUUUCCAAAAGGAGUUCUGCUCUCCUGAUUUACGCGUUUUAUGGGCCAGGUAUCAGAUGUCUAAAAUAACUUUUAUUCUUCUUCCAUUUACUUCUAUCAGACUGAUUUCAAUCUUCUCCCUUUCCACUGACCCCUUGUGUUUCUUUCUGCUUCCUACUUUCUCUUGAUCUGUAUUACAAAUAUAAUUGCAAUCAAUAUUUUAUGAAAAGUCUGGUCAGCGAAAGUAAUAUUUGAAAAUAUAAAUAUGUUAUACAUUUUA